GGGGCAGGACUUGCAUGGCCUUGGCUUCGGUCAUGACUUAGUCCGUUCGUUUGCGUUUGAGAAGCAACGUGACAAGAUCUUCCUCUUGUCCCUUAUCCUGGACUGGGAGGGGAGGGGAGGUGUCCCCCCCCCCCCGAUUCAGGGACUGGUGUCAUGCACUGCAGGAUCUCCAGCCCAUCCCAGGCAGGAAUAUCAAGAUGACACAUCAGGCUGCUGGACAGAGCUAGAACCCAGACGGGAAGUAGGAUCACCAGGCAUCCUCAGCUGAAACAAGAUUAGGGAAGUGGUAGGAAGCAAGCUGACUUAUCACGCUAACAUUCUUUUUGGACUUUCUUGGAUUAUAAGAUUAGGACAUUGGAGCAUGUUGACGAAUGUUAUUUGACAAGAUCAACUUCCACUUCCACUUGAAAAAAAGACAUCUUGAAAUGGAGGUCAACGGGUCACCUUAGUGUGUAUAGACUUGUUCAUUCAUAUUUCUACUUCAUGGACUUCAUCACUCGUUUUUGUUAUACAAUGUGUGGACUCAUUAAUUCAUGAGCUGUACUCAUUUCUACAUUAUGGACUUUAUUGCUCUUCUCUGAAUAUACAGUUCUAUUAAUAUUUUUCCAUUUUACUUAUACUGAAUACAUUUUCUACUAUAGAAUCAUUUGACUA